AUUGAACGCUGGCGGCAGGCCUAACACAUGCAAGUCGAGCGGAUGAGAUGAGCUUGCUCCUCGAUUCAGCGGCGGACGGGUGAGUAAUGCCUAGGAAUCUGCCUAGUAGUGGGGGACAACGUUUCGAAGGGAACGCUAAUACCGCAUACGUCCUACGGGAGAAAGUGGGGGACCUUCGGACCUCACGCUAUUAGAUGAGCCUAGGUCGGUUUAGCUAGUUGGUAGGGUAAAGGCCUACCAAGGCGACGAUCCGUAACUGGUCUGAGAGGAUGAUCAGUCACACUGGAACUGAGACACGGUCCAGACUCCUACGGGAGGCAGCAGUGGGGAAUAUUGGACAAUGGGCGAAAGCCUGAUCCAGCCAUGCCGCGUGUGUGAAGAAGGCCUUCGGGUCGCAAAGCACUUUAAGUUGGGAGGAAGGGCUCAUAGCGAAUACCUGUGAGUUUUGACGUUACCAACAGAAUAAGCACCGGCUAACUUCGUGCCAGCCGCCGCAGUAACAC
rnacentral:rRNA from 1 species